rnacentral:rRNA from 1 species
CACGUAGGGUGCGAGCGUUGUCCGGAAUUACUGGGCGUAAAGGGCGCGUAGGCGGCCCGCUAAGUCGAACGUGAAAUCCCCGAGCUCAACUCGGGAACUGCGUCCGAUACUGGCGGGCUUGAAUCCGGGAGAGGGAUGCGGAAUUCCAGGUGUAGCGGUGAAAUGCGUAGAUAUCUGGAGGAACACCGGUGGCGAAGGCGGCAUCCUGGACCGGCAUUGACGCUGAGGCGCGAAAGCUAGGGGAGCAAACGGG